CAGUAGCCGCGGGAAUACGGAGGGUGCAAGCGUUAAUCGGAAUUACUGGGCGUAAAGCGCACGCAGGCGGUCUGACAAGUCAGAUGUGAAAUCCCCGGGCUUAACCUGGGAACUGCAUUUGAAACUGUCAGGCUGGAGUCUUGUAGAGGGGGGUGAAUUCCAGGUGUAGCGGUGAAAUGCGUAGAGAUCUGGAGGAAUACCGGUGGCGAAGGCGGCCCCCUGGACAAAGACUGACGCUCAGGUGCGAAAGCGUGGGGAGCAAACAGGAUUAGAUACCCCUGUAGUCCCUGUCUCUUAUACC
rnacentral:rRNA from 1 species